rnacentral:rRNA from 1 species
CCUACGGGAGGCAGCAGUGGGGAAUAUUGGACAAUGGGGGGAACCCUGAUCCAGCGACGCCGCGUGAGUGAAGAAGUAUUUCGGUAUGUAAAGCUCUAUCAGCAGGGAAGAAAGAAAUGACGGUACCUGACUAAGCAGCCCCGGCUAACUACGUGCCAGCAGCCGCGGUAAGACGUAGGGGGAAAGCGUUAUCCGGAUUUACUGGGUGUAAAGGGAGCGUAGACGGCGAUGCAAGUCUGAAGUGAAAGGCGGGGGCCCAACCCCGGGACUGCUUUGGAAACUGUAUGGCUGGAGUGCAGGAGAGGUAAGUGGAAUUCCUAGUGUAGCGGUGAAAUGCGUAGAUAUUAGGAGGAACACCAGUGGCGAAGGCGGCUUACUGGACUGUAACUGACGUUGAGGCUCGAAAGCGUGGGGAGCAAACAGGAUUAGAUACCCUUGUAGUC